GGGAAUCUGCCCUUGGGUUCGGAAUAACGUCGGGAAACUGACGCUAAUACCGGAUGAUGACGAAAGUCCAAAGAUUUAUCGCCCAGGGAUGAGCCCGCGUAGGAUUAGCUAGUUGGUGAGGUAAAGGCUCACCAAGGCUACGAUCCUUAACUGGUCUGAGAGGAUGAUCAGCCACACUGGGACUGAGACACGGCCCAGACUCCUACGGGAGGCAGCAGUAGGGAAUAUUGGACAAUGGGGGCAACCCUGAUCCAGCAAUGCCGCGUGAGUGAUGAAGGCCUUAGGGUUGUAAAGCUCUUUUACCCGAGAUGAUAAUGACAGUAUCGGGAGAAUAAGCUCCGGCUAACUCCGUGCCAGCAGCCGCGGUAAUACGAAGGGGGCUAGCGUUGUUCGGAAUUACUGGGCGUAAAGCGCACGUAGGCGGAUAUUUAAGUCAGGGGUGAAAUCCCAGAGCUCAACUCUGGAACUGCCUUUGAUACUGGGUAUCUUGAGUAUGGAAGAGGUAAGUGGAAUUGCGAGU
rnacentral:rRNA from 1 species